rnacentral:rRNA from 1 species
UACGAGGGGGGCAAGCGUUGUUCGGAAUUAUUGGGCGUAAAGGGCGCGUAGGCGGUGCGGUAAGUCACCUGUGAAACCUCUAGGCUUAACCUAGAGCCUGCAGGCGAAACUGCCGUGCUUGAGGGUGGGAGAGGUGCGUGGAAUUCCCGGUGUAGCGGUGAAAUGCGCAGAUAUCAGGAAGAACACCGACGGCGAAGGCAGCUCGCUGGGACGGUACUGACGCUGAGGCGCGAAAGCGUGGGGAGCGAACAGG